rnacentral:sRNA from 1 species
UCCCCAUCACCAGGCUCUCCCUGGAAGACAAAGCUGAGGACUAAGGAUAAAGAAGAGAAGAAAAAGACAGAGUUUCUGGAUCUGGACAACUCUCCUCUGUCCCCACCUUCACCAAGGACCAAAAGCAGAACGCAUACUCGGGCACUCAAGAAGUUAAGUGAGGUGAACAAGCGCCUCCAGGAUCUCCGUUCCUGUCUGAGCCCCAAGCCACCUCAGGGUCAAGAGCAACAGGGCCAAGAGGAUGAAGUGGUCUUGGUGGAAGGGCCCACCCUCCCAGAGACCCUCCGACUCUUCCCACUCAAAAUCCGUUGCCGGGCUGACCUGGUCAGAUUGCCCCUCAGGAUGGUGAGUGCCUGAGGCCCAUGGGAGAAGGACCCAGGAGCUGCUUCUGGAGAGAUGGUGGUGUCCAGCAGGGGUGUCCUGGCAGAAGGGACUGUCAUCCUUUUCCCAUCCUGCUCUCUAGAGCUGCCCAUCAUUCUUUUCAGUCUGUCCUGCCUUCACACUUUUUGUUUCCUCUGUCUGCAUUUUCCCAACGCUCCCCUCUCUUUCUGGCAAACUUUCUACCCAUUCUUCAAGGCUCCUCAUAAGCAUCCUGUGUCUUUUUUUUUCCUUCAAAAAGUGGUCUUACUGUGUCCAGGCUGGUUCCGAACUCCUGGGCUCAAGUGAUCGUCCCUCAUUGACCUCCCAAAGUGCUGGGAUUCCAGGUGUGAAGCAUCCUGU